AUACGGAUUUUAAUCCGUAUGUAAUGUAGAUACUACAUACGGAUUUUAUAUACAGAUUUAGAAAAAUAAAUUAUAUACGGACCUACUGAAACUACAUACGGAUCUGAAAAAAUUUUAUUAAAAAAAAAAAUAAUGUGGUAUUUGUAUUAGGAAACCGUCUUAUUCCAGAACAUAGUUUCCUCUGCUCUCAACGAAGAACCCUCUUUAUGGAAGAGGCUCCUUGGACUUCUUGAAGCUUCCUCCACGAGUUGACCACAACCGGAUUCGAUGAAGGGCCUUAGCAAGAGAACUCGAAAGAGGAGGAACACGCCUAGAAAACCCUAGGUUCGCGAUGAUACUCCGGGAGAGGAAAAGAUUCGAAGCGGAGUGAAAAAUAGGAAGAUUGUUCGGUGAGAAAUGUGAUUUAGGUCGUGUGUUCGGUGGAAAAGGACGAUUCAACGACUACAUCAGUGAAACAGUGCCAAAAUGAGGAUGUAAUCGGUGGAAAAGCCUGUAACAAGGACAAAUGAAGUCGCAAAAUGUGAUUCGGUGAUGUCAAUCACGACGACGAAGGCUCUUUGGGAGUGAUAAGGUGAGGAGGUUCGCGAGCUCGAGAAGAAGCUAGGUUUAAGUUGUUGGACUCGUGAAAGCUCAAACCGUAGCCGCUGCGUGACCGAGCUAUUGUUCCAUAACCACCNNNN
rnacentral:lncRNA from 1 species